AUUGAACGCUGGCGGUAGGCCUAACACAUGCAAGUCGAGCGGAUGAAGGGAGCUUGCUUCUGGUUUCAGCGGCGGACGGGUGAGUAAUGCCUAGGAAUAUGCCUGGUUGCGGGGGAUAACGUCAGGACACGGGCGCUAAUACCGCAUUCGUGCUGAGGGCCUACGUGGGGGAUCUUCGGAUCUUCCGAUAUCACGCGAGCCUAUGUCGGAAUAGCUAGUUGGGGGGGUAAAGGCCUACCAAGGCGCCGAUCCGUUACUGGUCUGGAAGGCUGAUCGGUCACACAUGGACUGGGACACGGUCCAGACCCCUACGGGAAGCAACAGGGGGGAAAAAUUGACAAUGGGCGGAAGGCUGGUCCAACCAUGCCGCGUUUGUUGAGGAAGGCCUCGGAGUUGAAAACACUUUAAGUUGGGAGAAAAAGCAGUAAGUUAAUACCUUGCUGUUUUGACGUUACCAACAGAAUAAGCACCGGCUAACUUCGUG
rnacentral:rRNA from 1 species